rnacentral:sRNA from 1 species
GCUGGGCAUGGUGGCGCAUGCCUGUAGUCCCAGCUACUCUGGAGGCUAAGGCAGUAGGAUUGCUUGAGCCCAGGAGUUUGAGGUUGCUGUGAGCUAGGCUGACGCCACGGCACUCACUCUAGACUGGGCAACAAAGUGAGACUCUGUCUCAAGAAAAAAAAAAGAAAAGAAAUAGGGUCUCAUUCUGCCACCCAGACUUGAGUGCAGUAGCACAGUGAUAGCUCACUGCAACCUCGAACUCCUGGGCUCAAGCAAUCCUUC